rnacentral:rRNA from 1 species
GAUGAACGCUGGCGGCGUGCCUAAUACAUGCAAGUCGAGCGAACGGACGAGAAGCUUGCUUUUCUGAUGUUAGCGGCGGACGGGUGAGUAACACGUGGAUAACCUACCUAUAAGACUGGGACAACUUCGGGAAACCGGAGCUAAUACCGGAUAAUAUUUUGAACCGCAUGGUUCAAAAGUGAAAGACGGUCUUGCUGUCACUUAUAGAUGGAUCCGCGCUGCAUUAGCUAGUUGGUAAGGUAACGGCCUACCAAGGCAACGAUGCAUAGCCGACCUGAGAGGGUGAUCGGCCACACUGGAACUGAGACACGGUCCAGACUCCUACGGGAGGCAGCAGUAGGGAAUCUUCCGCAAUGGGCGAAAGCCUGACGGAGCAACGCCGCGUGAGUGAUGAAGGUCUUCGGAUCGUAAAACUCUGUUAUUAGGGAAGAACAUAUGUGUAAGUAACUGUGCACAUCUUGACGGUACCUAAUCAGAAAGCCACGGCUAACUACGUG